UGUUUUGUGGCGUAGUGGUUUGGGCAUUGGACUCUUGACUUUGGAAGCCAGGGUUCAAAUCCCAGCUUGGCCA